rnacentral:rRNA from 1 species
UACAGAGGUCUCAAGCGUUGUUCGGCUUCAUUGGGCGUAAAGGGUGCGUAGGCGGCGCGGUAAGUCGGGUGUGAAAUCUCGGAGCUUAACUCCGAAACUGCAUUCGAUACUGCCGUGCUUGAGGACUGGAGAGGAGACUGGAAUUUACGGUGUAGCGGUGAAAUGCGUAGAUAUCGUAAGGAAGACCAGUGGCGAAGGCGGGUCUCUGGACAGUUCCUGACGCUGAGGCACGAAGGUCAGGGGAGCAAACGGG